AACGAACGCUGGCGGCAGGCUUAACACAUGCAAGUCGAACGGGCGUAGCAAUACGUCGGUGGCAGACGGGUGAGUAACACGUGGGAACCUUCCUCGUAGUACGGAACAACUCAGGGAAACUUGAGCUAAUACCGUAUACGUCCGAGAGGAGAAAGAUUUAUCGCUAUGAGACGGGCCCGCGUCCGAUUAGGUAGUUGGUGGGGUAACGGCCUACCAAGCCGACGAUCGGUAGCUGAUCUGAGAGGAUGAUCAGCCACACUGGGACUGAGACACGGCCCAGACUCCUACGGGAGGCAGCAGUGGGGAAUCUUGGACAAUGGGCGCAAGCCUGAUCCAGCCAUGCCGCGUGAGUGAAGAAGGCCUUAGGGUUGUAAAGCUCUUUUGCCAGGGACGAUAAUGACGGUACCUGGAGAAUAAGCCCCGGCAAACUUCGUGCCAGCAGCCGCCGUAA
rnacentral:rRNA from 1 species